rnacentral:sRNA from 1 species
UCACCUUCCCCAACAUUGCCAGUGCCACCAAGUUCAAGCAGCUCUACCGCUCCCGCAUGAACUCCCUGGAGAUGACUCCCGCAGUCAGGCAGAGGGUGAUAGAAGAGGCCAAGACUGCGUUCCUGCUCAACAUCCAGCUCUUUGAGGAGUUGCAGGAGCUGCUGACCCAUGACACCAAGGACCAGAGCCCCUCACGGGCACCAGGGCUUCGCCAGCGGGCCAGCAACAAAGUGCAAGGUGAGAGCAUCCAGGAAGGGGCACUUCCUCUGGGCUACACAUGGAGGGACUUGGCUGUCUGACUGUAGUAUCUCUAUUCCUCUGUUUUCUGAAUGUUUGGUGGUGGUGGGUGUUGUUUCCUGCUGCCCCACCCCACUGCCCCUGUAAGGACAGGUUCUCGCUAUAUUGCCCAGGCCAGUCUUGAACACCUGACUUCAAGCAAUCCUCUUGCCUCUGCCUCCCCGAGUGCUGCAGUUACAGGCGCGAGCCACCAUGCCAGCCUGAAUGUUUGUUGUUGUUGUUGUUUGAGAUGGAGUCUCACCCAGGCUGGAGUGCAGUGGCGCGAUCUCA